rnacentral:rRNA from 1 species
AUACGGGGGGUGCAAGCGUUAUUCGGAUUUAUUGGGCGUAAAGGGCGCGUAGGCGGCUUGGUAAGUCAGAUGUGAAAGCCCGGGGCUUAACCCCGGAAGUGCAUUUGAAACUAUCAGGCUUGAGUAUGGGAGAGGGAAGUGGAAUUCCUGGUGUAGAGGUGAAAUUCGUAGAUAUCAGGAGGAACACCGGUGGCGAAGGCGACUUCCUGGACCAAUACUGACGCUGAGGCGCGAAGGCGUGGGGAGCAAACAGGAUUAGAUACCCCGGUAGUCC